AGUGAUGGAAUUUUAAACCAUAAAAUAGUAUAAUAACAAAUACUUUUAGUGA
rnacentral:tRNA from 1 species